GUGUCUAUUGAAAAGGAGAGACGGUUAGCACUCCCCUUGACAAGGAUGGAACACAUGAACGGUUGUAUGAGGCUAAACAAAUACAACCCACAUUUUUU